AUGUACAGUGACGAAGGCAAUAGCCUUUAGGGAAGAAAUGAAUAUCAGUCAAAAUGAAAAAAUUGCUCUUUUAAAACACGAUAUUUUGAAUAGCCCAUACCAUGUACACAUAUUUGACUGCCAUGACGAUUGUGCUAGUUAUUUUUGUAAAGGUCCAAGAGAAAAUGAGGUUAAUCUAGUUCCUCAAAUGGAAACUUCUGGAUUAUGGGCUGAUAUAUUAUAGGGGCCAGAAAUAUAGUUACACAUCAUGUAUCGAGUCUCAUAUAUAAUGUUAAUAACAAUGUAGUUAAAGGUUUUAAUAAAGUGAUUGCCAAGUACGUUGGUGGUAAAAGAAUCAACUUUUCUUUACGAGACCCGAUGAUGAUUACGGAGCUGUGAAAAUAGGUUGCGAAAUAAUUGAUAUGCCUUUUGAUGAGUAUCAAAACAAAAAGGAAAUAUUUUUGAAAAAAAUAACACCAAAAAUCUGAAGAGAUAGUAGCGGUUGAACGACAGACAGCUGGACAGCAAGAUAACGAUAUGUGGCAACAAUAUAAAAAAUAUUGGCUAACAACAUCCAACUUUGGAAAAGUCUGUAAGCUUCGACCUACAACUUCUCGUGCAAAUACAAUAAAGCAUAUUUUGUACGAUAUUUUUCAAGGAAGUUCAGCCACGAGGUAAGAUUAACGUUUUUU